UGGCUUAAAUGUAGAGUGUCAUUUUUUUAGAGAUAGAAAUUCCCUUCGGGGCUUUCUGCAAGGUGCUGCAUGGUUGUCGUCAGCUCGUGCCGUGAGGUGUCGGGUUAAGUCCCAUAACGAGCGCAACCCUUAUCGUUAGUUGCCAUCUGGUAAUGCAGGGGACUCUAGCGAAACUGCCACCGUAAGGUGAGAGGAAGUGGGGAUGACGUCAAAUCAGCACGGCCCUUAUGUCCAGGGCUACACACGUGUUACAAUGGUCGGUACAGAGGGCAGCUACCUGGUGACAGGAUGCUAAUCUCGAAAACCGGUCUCAGUUCGGAUCGAAGUCUGCAACUCGACUUCGUGAAGCUGGAUUCGCUAGUAAUCGCGCAUCAGCUAUGGCGCGGUGAAUACGUUCCCGGGCCUU
rnacentral:rRNA from 1 species